rnacentral:rRNA from 1 species
UACGGAGGGGACUAGCGUUGUUCGGAAUUACUGGGCGUAAAGCGCACGUAGGCGGAUUUGUCAGUUGGGGGUGAAAUCCCGGGGCUCAACCCCGGAACUGCCUCCAAUACUGCAAGUCUAGAGAUCGAGAGAGGUGAGUGGAAUUCCGAGUGUAGAGGUGAAAUUCGUAGAUAUUCGGAGGAACACCAGUGGCGAAGGCGGCUCACUGGCUCGAUACUGACGCUGAGGUGCGAAAGCGUGGGGAGCAAACAGG